rnacentral:lncRNA from 1 species
GGAAUUAUUUUUUGUUCAGUUGCACAGGUUUUAUUGCCUUUUUUAAUUGGAACUAAUCUUCUUUUUUUUUUUUUUGAACUGCUAAUUUUUCUGAUCCCUUUCCUUUAUGCAUAUUUUGCAGGAUGGCAACUGCCAGCUCCCUGAAUUUAUUCUGCUUGGCUUUCUUGAAGGCUUUUGUUCUGUGUAUCUACUUCUUAUGAAUGCACCAGAGAGGUGCAUGAAUAAAUGAAUGUAAGCAUAUGCCUGAGAUUGCCAUCUGACUUUCUUUAUGGACAGUAGUAAAUACCAAUUUGCCACUAGUAGCAAGUAAUAGUACUAAACAGUGAUUUUUUUUAAGAGAGUCAUCACGUCCUCCUAAAUGGAUACCUGAGUGAAUGAACCAUGUCCUUAAUGUGCCCAUUUCUCGCCACUGAGUAUGAGGAGAAUCUCAGGAUGCUGGUUCAGAUAUAGACAUCUACAUAUCAAAUCUCUAAAUAUGGGUGACCUGACCCCAUCUUCUGCCAUCUGCUGCAGUCCUAUAGCAAGAGAUGCCUGGGAAAAGUGUCCCUUUACACCAGCUCUGUGCUUCACAUGCUUCUGCUAGCUGCAAAGAGAGGAAGAGCUUCAUCCAUCCAGUGCCAGGUUCUCUGAGCCGACACAAGCCGUGUGCAGGGGAAGUGAGAGCCAAAAGCCAUUACAACAUCGAUCCCAAGACUAUUGUCAGUGUUGGAAUGUGUCCCGGGUGAAUGUGAUUUUUCCUUAGCACAAAGAAUCACGUCUUGGGAACACAACCAAAUGCUGUCAGAGUGUAACACAAUAGACUUUUCUGGUGAAAAUGUAAUUAAAUGCUAUUCAAAUCUCUUAAAAGAAAGCAAAGAAACAAAAGGUUCAAGUUUAAGACUAUGCACCUUUCUUUCACUACCUCUCUCAAGGGAAGUGAAUCCAUCAGAAGUAUGGUUCCAGAUGCCAAAAGUAAUAUAAAUGCAGACUUUCAGGUCUAGCCAAAUUGUGGUUAAAGUUAUUUCUCUGUGGAUCACACUCACUCAUUAAUUUUAACACUGGACAUUUUCCAAACUGUGUGGUUGCUUUGCAACAGGGGGCAAGACCCCAGUGAUUAGAUGCCUUACAUUUCACUAUUUUUCCUAAUUUACCCACUUGAAUAAAAAUUGGGAUUUCAGAACUCUAUUGCUUUCU